ACUCCGCUACCGGACGAACGUCAAGUCAAGUCGGUCGAGGGGGAUUAAGGAGGGGGAGGAGAACCAAGUAGAGCAGCACAUAGAGAGCGCGCGCGCUGCCGGAGCCGCGUCCGUGGCCGCCGCCGUCCCUCCUAGUCGGCCGCCGGCCGCCGAGGCUAGUACCAGACCAGCGACUGACGCCCUGUCUUCGAGAAUGAUGAAAAGUGGCGGUGGGAUUUGGACGUCGUAUCAUGAUAGCGAAUACCCAGACUCAGGAGACCCUCGUAGGCGUACCGCGCCGGACUGACGGGUCUGUUCACACCAUUGCAGUCGUAGGGCAUGGGCAAGCCGUGGCUCUUUCCGACGAAGGUUCCUGGGAAAUCACAGUGUACGUUACGGUCACCCGGUAUAGAUCGAAGUUGGUCUCAAUCCUAUGACCUGUAGUUAGAAUGGUACCCACUCUAAGCACAAGACUUGGGUGCAUAUCGUACCCUUACGUUGAUGUGUCUGCCGUGGUUAUCGUUGCCAAGCCUACCCAAUUCUGAACUAGGAAAAGUAUUCGAAAGGUUGUGGUUCUUGUUCAACUAUAGCUAGCCAACACGAUGUGAACCUAAAUAGCCUCCUUACUGGUUCCCGCUCUUGGUCUAAAGCAAGGGGUAACAAUUGAGUACGAAAAGUAAGACGUGACUGCGUUCAUCGUACUUACCAUCGUGUCUCACGCCACCGUACCCAACGACGGUUUAGGGGAAAGGUCCUUUGUAGUCGAGGAAGGCGUGGCCUAGAUCUGGUAACUGUUAUAUGCUGAGAUCGUGGGUCGGAAAGGCGGGCACGUCGAUGUGUAAGCAACGACUCCUCCUGACCAAGUUCAAGUUAGUAAGUAUAUAGUACAGAUGUUUAAAGCGUUGAUUUAUAUGUCUACCCCAGGGAAACCAUGAUCUAACCCAACAACCAUUAUUUUCAACAAGCCUUCGGUGGUUCUACCCUAGUGUCAUACGUACGGUUCGGUACUUGUCACUUACGUAGCUACAGAGGUUACCGGGACCAAUGGCGACGUUGACGAGAGUUCCAAUACUCCCGUUAGGGAUGGAUGUUCCUCCCACGGUUCUAUAGUUACUCACGCUUGGAGGUUUGGUCAGGAAGAUGGGAACGUUUCCAUUAACGUCUUUAUGGCUGCCUUUGAUGCAGACAGAGACGGGUAGUCCUAAGUCCUCGCUACUAGGGUUAUCGUAUGGGACGCAAGGUCGACUGGGUUUCUUUCGCGACUUCCAACAAAAUCCGUAUAAGAAGACACAACAGAAGGAGUACCAAACAUAGAAACGAGAUGCCCGACUCAUAGUCUUUUCCUUCGAACGGUUUCUCUUCCUGUUUAAGAAACUAGUCUUACCACCAGUCUAUAAUAUAGCGGUUUAAUACAGUUUUCUUCAGCUGUGUAACUUCUAUAAAUGUGUUCUUCUAGACUUCUUCCGAUGUUUGUUAAAACUGUUCUCGUUUCUUGACCCGUCCCCACCAGUACCGUGACAGAUGUUCCCGUAAGACUUCCUACUGUCCCAUCACCGGCAGUUUGCGAGUUUCUAUUACUUGCACCGGCUUUGACUACUUAAACACGUCCUCUAAUAAUAUGAAAGUGUCUGGUUGGUGGCCUUACACCAGUCCGAAGAUCCCACGACGAAUCUCCACCUUCAGGGGUAUGACCAGAUACUUAAGUAGGGUUUACCGUGAGAUAAACUCAAGUAGGUAGCAUCGAUGCCCUCAGGUGGCGGGAGCGACCUGUGGGCAGAGUCCCAGCGAGUUCUUAGGCGGCUUCGUGACCGUAUAAACGUAGACAGGUACUUGGUGGGAUAUCACGUGCCCCUACAGUUCAGAUACUUGUAAGAGAACCUGCUGUUGAUGUACCGCUUCCACUGACUGAAACCCCGCAGUUCCUACGAGGGGUUCCUGCGCCGGGUCAAGUACUGCUACCACGUCCCGUGGGACCCAAUGGACCUGGGGCUCAUGGACGUUCUCGCUGUCGAGUGCCUCUUCUCACUACAGAUGUCAAAGCCCCAGCACGACGACCUCGACUAGUGUCCCUUCUGCCGCUAGAUAUUGCUACCCGGGUUACUUCCGUUCUCGGAGCACGCCAGGAAGGACGAGCGCUACUUCCUCCUGUCGGAUCUCCUGUAGGACCUGGGCUCGUAGCACGCGCGUCCCUGCCGCUGCGACGACCCCCUUCACCGGCGCGACCCCUCCUACACGAACCCAGGGUACCCACUUCUCUCCGGUAGGUACUGGCUCCACCGGCUGUCCGACUUCCGAGACGCUUCGUGGACCUCCCUUCUCGACCACGACCUGGCACGGCACUGCCUUUUAUACCAGCACGUGUACGGUGGACGCCGUCGAGGCUACGGAAACCUAGAGCGCAGUAGCAGGAGCCCUCGGGGGAGCUGCCACGGCAUGUACAGGCCUUACCCGUACCUCAGAGAGUCUACUACCAAACUAAACUUGGAAGGAACCCUCACCAUCACUGUCCUCCUUCACACACGGCCACACGCAAUUCUCCGAAUCUCGCAGGUUCUAAAUAGGUGACAGGUCGUCUUUACAUGUCCAUCAAGAUGACAUAAUAUCCAUAGAUUCAUCUACAACCUCAGACGUCACACUCACACUUCCCUGUGUUUUAAGUCAAGGGAAUGAAGGUUAUAAGUCAUACGCUCAGGUCACAAUCAUGAUUCCCUUUUAAGUCAUACUCUUAGGUCAAGUCACACUUCCCUUUUAAGUCAAGGGUCGUUGCCUAGCUAGUAGCUAGAUUGACCCGGCAUGGUUG
rnacentral:rRNA from 1 species